AGUGAACGCUGGCGGUAGGCCUAACACAUGCAAGUCGAACGGCAGCACAGUAAGAGCUUGCUCUUACGGGUGGCGAGUGGCGGACGGGUGAGGAAUACAUCGGAAUCUACUUUUUCGUGGGGGAUAACGUAGGGAAACUUACGCUAAUACCGCAUACGACCUACGGGUGAAAGCAGGGGAUCUUCGGACCUUGCGCGAUUGAAUGAGCCGAUGUCGGAUUAGCUAGUUGGCGGGGUAAAGGCCCACCAAGGCGACGAUCCGUAGCUGGUCUGAGAGGAUGAUCAGCCACACUGGAACUGAGACACGGUCCAGACUCCUACGGGAGGCAGCAGUGGGGAAUAUUGGACAAUGGGCGCAAGCCUGAUCCAGCCAUACCGCGUGGGUCAAGAAGGCCUUCGGGUUGUAAAGCCCUUUUGUUGGGAAAGAAAAGCAGCAGGUUAAUACCCCGCUGUUCUGACGGUACCCAAAGAAUAAGCACCGGCUAACUUCGUG
rnacentral:rRNA from 1 species